rfam:Picea glauca, whole genome shotgun sequence.
UGGGGCGUGGCCAAGCUGUCAAACAGCAGGUUUUGAUCCUGUUAUUGGGAGGUUCGAAUCCUUCCGUCCCAG